rnacentral:lncRNA from 1 species
GAUUGUGAUGAUUACAAAGCAGAUUGAAGGGAUACCAAUUUUUUUAUUUGAAAAAGUCUUUGUGCUCUUCAGGGGCAAAAUCGUAAUUUUACCAAAACCCUGAUUUAAUAGUAUCAUUUGGUAGAACAAAAGAUUUGUGAUUUAUUGGCAAAAAUUUCAUUGUUUUUGGACUUGUAUUUUUGAAGUUAUGAAUGUUUGAAAUCCAUGAGUCGACUCAUGAGUCAGCUCAUGGCACAAUGAGCAGCUUG